rnacentral:rRNA from 1 species
GUCCACGCCGUAAACGAUGAGUGCUAGCUGCUGGGAAUGUUUACCGUCUCAGUGGCGAAGCUAACGCAUUAAGCACUCCGCCUGGGAAGUACGGCCGCAAGGCUAAAACUCAAAGGAAUUGACGGGGCCCGCACAAGCGGUGGAGCAUGUGGUUUAAUUCGAAGCAACGCGCAGAACCUUACCCAGGCUUGACAUCUCGGGAGCCCUGCGGAAACGGCGGGGGUGCCUUCUCACGAAGGAGCCCGAAGACAGGUGCUGCAUGGCUGUCGU